rnacentral:tRNA from 1 species
AGCGAUGUGGUGGUAGUGCUGGAUUUCCUGACUCAAAAUCAGGUAUCUUCACGGAUGUGCAGGUUCAAGUCCUGUCACCGCUA